UACGGAGGGUGCAAGCGUUAUCCGGAUUUACUGGGUUUAAAGGGUGCGCAGGCGGCCCAUUAAGUCAGAGGUGAAAGCCCACGGCUCAACCGUGGAAUUGCCUUUGAAACUGAUGGGCUUGAGUACAGUUGGCGUGGGUGGAAUGCAUCAUGUAGCGGUGAAAUGCAUAGAUAUGAUGCAGAACGCCAAUCGCGAAGGCAGCUCACGAAACUGUUACUGACGCUCAUGCACGAAAGCGUGGGGAGCGAACAGG
rnacentral:misc_RNA from 1 species